rnacentral:lncRNA from 1 species
AAGCGAUUUAGUCUUUCCAAAUCUGGUUUAUUAUUUCCAAAGACGUGCAACACCUCCUCUCUGGCACGUACUUGCCACUCUGGAUGUAAGCACAGCAAAAUCAUUGUCCAGACGAGCAACACUGAAGUAGUCUCUUGUCCAGCAAAAUAGAAUAACUUGCACUCUUCAAUCACUUCAACUGUUGUCAUUCCGAAAUCUUUGCUUCCGUGUUGUUCAAUUUCUUUCAUAUUGGAUUCAAGUAAUAUGCCUAAUAAGUCAUCUUUACUAGGCUCCCCUGCUUCCAUUGCCCUCAAUCUUUUGUCGAUGAUACACCUGAUCGUUGUUUGGACUUGCUUUUCGAUUUCCAGCAUUCUUUUGUUCCUUUUAGUAGGCAAGAACCUAUAUAAACAAGAAAAGUCUGUUAGUAGAAAAAAUUUCAUAUUUAAUUACAGAGAGAUUUGACAAGCGCAAAAGUAAGUUUUGAACGUGGAAAUGUGAUGUACCUUGAUCCUGGUAUAUAAAUUGAUCGUCCUUUUUCGAUUACAUACUCAGCUUGUUCUUUCUGAAGUUCAAAUACUGUUCUUCCUUCUUCAUAGCUACUCCCAAAUGCUGUACGAGAUAUGACUUCACUAGCCAUUAUUUGAAGGUCUGGCCAUACAUCGAGUUCAAAUGAUGUUCCCUUUGGAACAAUUUCCUCCCAUUUGCUUAGCAUUUCACUACAACUCACAUAAAAUGCUGGCAGCAUAUGCUGUAAAUGAAAAAACCAGCAAAUGCUUGUUAUAAAAUUAGUUGUCUUACUUCCCUUCUAAGUCUCUUUAAAAAAGAACGUUUCUUUCUAUAUAAUAUAUCCUACAUGGAAUGUUUAGACCACAAGAUUUAAAUGAUAUUUUGGUAUAUUAUACACAACAUCUAUAGUUUAAGACCACAAGAUCCAAGAGACUCCCUUAUUUUCUUAACCAUUGUCCUUGCCCAAUCAAACUACAACAACAUACUCAGUGUAAUCCCACAAGUGAGGUCUGAAAAGGGUGGUGUGUACGUCGACCUUACCCCUACCUUGUAAAGGUAGAGAGGUCAAGUAUAACAAUUCAAAAUAGGUUUGAAAAGCUAAUGAAGAAAAAACGUUGAAAAUAAUGGAGAAGGGAACAAAUAUAACGGAAGGAGUAAUAAAGUAGAACCUUUAACUUCUCUACGUGGAACACGGGAUUGAUGAUUUUUCUGUGUUUGGCCCAUUUGUCUCCAUCAAUGGCUGAUAGACCGUCAGCCAAUAACUUGGUCAUUGGAUUGACAUGACGCUGCUUUACAUACACAUAAUUCUUUGUGAAAAUCUCUUUUACAUGUUCAGGAUCUGUGAUCAACACUGUUGGAUAUGGGCCUAGCCACACAAAAGAACUUUUACCUGCCAGUAAUCUGUUUCCGAUUAGAAAAAAAGAAGAAGAAGGUAUAGCACAUAAACAAACACUCAAAUUUGAUUUCAGUCGACAAAUAAUCACUCCAACUUUGAGGUUCAAAUCUAGACACCUCAACUUAGUCUCAACUAGCAACUAAACGCUUCACUCGUCUCCACUGUGUCUUAUAGACACCCAACGCUAGCGUAACACAUAAAUAUUACACGUGUCUAAAUGAUCAUCACAUAAUAGAGACAAGUUGAAGUGUUAGAUGUGCAUACUCAAAGUUGCGGUGUUUACUUUCCAACUGAAUCAAUAAAAGAAACAUAUACCAUUUUUGUUGAUGGAGUUGAGGAAAAAGGGAUGAGUCUUUGAGCUAUAUCAUCAGAGAAAUUGAUAGGCUUAGACUUUGCUUCAACUAUACUUUUUGUGAAUUCAUUCAAAUCUCCAUAGAGUAACUUAUAUGGAUUUCCUUUUAGACCCCUUUGCCUUAAGAUAUUCUCCAAUUUUUUUGGCCUAAACCAUGCCCAAUUCAACACUCUCCAUGUAAAUACCAACAAUAUUGCAACACAAAUUGUUGCUAUAAUUGUGUUGGACAAAAUCUCCAUCAAAUUAUCUUUCUAGCUGUUUAUUUUUACAUAGAAAAAAGAGGGGAAAUAGCUAAUUUACCUUUUUGAUUUGUUGUUGUUUCGACAAGAUAAGGCCUAGCUGUUCUCUCCACCACAAAUACAUCAUGGUACCAUACUAAUAAAGAGUUUUGUCCAAUCUGUUUGGAUCCACUGAUCAAUUUUAUGAUUUUUCUAGGAAAAUUAAUAAGCGGAUUUCUUAUUUAUUUUCUUCUACUCUAUAUAAAUGUAUAUAUAUCCCUCGUCAUAUUGGGAGAAAUAUAUUUGGACUUAAAGUAUAACUGAAAGGGUAUAUUUGGAAUUCUACCCAAAGGUAUAACAAGGAGUAUAUUUAAACUAUUUCUUUUAGCACUAGAGUAUAUUUGGUCGUUUCUCCAUAUAUAUAAUCUAGAAAAAUACUAUGGGAGGCAGGGAUGGGGCCUAGGAAUUGUGAGGGUGAAGAAGAGGUGUGUUGGAAGGUCAAGAAGACACAAUCAAUGUGAAAUGUCACUUGUGAUACUUGUUUUUCCUACUUCUACUACAAAAGUCAUAUUCCAGCUCAUUUUUAAGUAAUUUUCGUAAAAAAAAUGUAUUCCAAAAUUUUGAUCAAUCAAAAAUGAAAAAAUUGAAAUUUCUCCGUACCAAACACACACACAUAUAAGUAAAUAAAAAUGUAUUGUUAUUCCUCUUAAAUUUUACAAAAAACAAAAUUAUGUCAUGAGUUAUUGAACUUAACCAGCUGUAGCCAUGAUAUCUUACCAAUCACAUUUGCUCAAGGCAUACAACUUAACAAUAGGAUCUUUACCCUACCAUGAAUCCAAAAUCAACUAAUUUGUAACCCCAAAAACCCAAAUCUGGUUUAUCAUUUCCAAAUACCCACAACACCUCCUCUCUAGCACAUACUUGCCACUCCGGAGGUAGGCAGAGGCGAAACCAAGAUUAAGAAUUUGGGGGUUCUAAAUUUUUUUAAUAACUGUCAAUCAAUUUUGUUAGGAGUUCACAAAUUAAUAUACAUAUAUAUUUAAUUAAUUUUUUAGUACAAAUAUAAGGUCUACAAAAAAGCUACUGAAUUUAUCUGAACCCAUGAACCUCACCUAGCUCCGCAUCUGGACGUAGGCACAACAAAAUCAUUGUACAUACGAGCAACACUGAAGUGGCCUCUUGUCCAGCAAAAUAGAAUAACUUGCACUCUACACCAUACAAAUAUUUCAGACAAUUAUUUUUUAAGUAUCCUAUCAAAUCAAACCAACUCAUCUCAAAUAGACUAACUCAUUCAUAUCUACACAGAGUCUUAAUCAGUAUCAAUAUGAUGUAUACGUUCAGAAAAAUGUGAAGAUAGAUUUUUGUCACCACUCUAUCCACCAUAUAUAUAUAUAUAAAAUAAGGCACUCAAAAAAAAAGAAGAAAGAAUUAAUCAAAAAUCAGGACCACAUAAAAGAACAAAAUUAAUUUAUUUUUUAAAAAAAAAAAAACUAGCUUCUUUUAUUACUUCCUCUCCCCCAAUCAAUAUCACUCACUUUAAAUAUUACUAUAUGUCCCUAAUUACUUGUCCACUUUUGAAUUGACACACUUAUUAAGAAAAUAAUUAAUGACAUAGUGAGUUUAUCAUUUUACCCCUAUUAAUUAUGAAGUGGAUGAAAAGUUCUACAUUUUCAAAAUAAUUAGUCAUUAAAUUGAGGGUAUAAUAGGUAAAAAGAAUUUGUCCUUUCUCGAUUUGUCAAAAUGGACAAGUAAUUAGGGACAACAAUAAAAGGAAAAGUGGACAAAUAAUUAGGGACAUAGGGAGUAUUAGCAGAAGAAACUCAAAGGACUAAGAAAAUAAUUAAAUGCUUGGAAUGUGAAAAGGGAGUAAAUAUGAAGUAGAAAUGUUAGUGCCUUUAAAAACUUUGUGCUCAAAUAUUGCCAUGUAAUGUCAGAUUCCAAUUAAAUCUCUUACCUCUUAAUUACACACAAGUUCAUAAAAAUUAAAACGUUUUGGAUUUUCUUUCAAUUUUUAAUUAAAAGUCUUUUAAAUAAACAUUAAAUAUGAAAGAGAAAUACUCCCUCUGUCCCUAAUUACUUGCCCACUUUUGAAUUGAUACACCUAUUAAGAAAAAUUAUUGACAUAGUGAGUUUACCAUUUUACUCCUAUUAAUUAUGAAGUGGAUGAAUUAAAAACUUAAUAUUUCAAGAAGUUCUACAUAUUUCAAAGUAAUUAAUUGAGGGUAUAAUAGAUAAAAAUUGUAUCAUUUUUUUAUUUGUCAAAAUAGACAAGUAAUUAGGGACAACUAAAAAAGGAAAUGUGGACAAGUAAUUAGGGACAUAGGGAGUAUGAGUGUAUUAUAAAACUUCUUGCUCAAAUGUUGUCUUAUUCUAUAAAUAAUCAUAUUCCAACUAAAUCUCUUACCUCUUAAUUACACACCAAAUUCAUAAAAAUUAAAACGAUUUAUUUUACUCUAUUGUUUUUGAAUUAAUUUCCUAUCUUUUUUCUUCUUAUUUAUAUAAUGAUAACAUAAUAAUAUACUAAUAUUUUAUAUGUAUAAAAAAUCAGCCCACGUAAUAGUAAUAUAUCAUGCCUUCAAUAUUGAGUUUUAAUUCCUCAAUAAACUGAAUAAUUAAUGGAUAGUGAAUGUCUAUGUUUCUUCAUCUUUCCCCUUCCUAUAACCCCCAUAUAUUCAACAAUUACACUUACAUUUACUUUUUACAUCAAAUUUUGGGAACAAUGAUUUUUAAAUAAUAUUGUUGCAUAUAUAUAUUUUUCAUUCCUUUUCAACAAUAGUGUAUGUUAUGCUGAUUAAUAAAUAGUGUAUAUGUGAUGCUGAUAUAUAAUAAAAGAAAAGGUAAUGCAAAUAGAGAGGUGAUCGUAUAGGUACGUAAUUCUUUUGUCCACUUUUAAUUAAUUUAUUUUUGGAUGAGGGAGAAUGCUUUUAUGAUGAUAUGAAAAUUUUGAUUAAUAUCUAUUUGAUAUUUUUUUUGUUGUGAUAAAAAACUGUAAUUAAUUAAUUUUUAAAAGAAUAAAAAUAUCUAAUAUCUUUCUAUGGAUAUUUUCGCUUUUCUUCAUUUGACAUGACACUUUUCCAAUUUUAAUAUUUAAUCAUAAUAUGCUAUGAUUAUUAUUUAAUAUUUAAUUAAUUAGAUAUUUUAUAAUAUACUAAAUUAAGUGUAGGGGAAAAAUGAUAUUUCAACUUUUACUUUAUGUGGUUUUCCACUUUUAGUAUAAUAUGAUAUGAUAUGAUGAUUAGUACUACGUAGUAGUAUACGGACCACUACUCGAAAUCUUGGUGCAACUAAAGCGAGCUUACUAAAGACAAGGACGGAGUAACUUCCACUAGACUAGUUAAGCCUACUACUUGGAUAAGUUAGUUCAUUUCGGAAAUCUUGCCGUAACUACUAACCCAUAUAGGGUUAAUGAACCUUCUGUAACCCCUUAACUAAAUAUAUUAUAUAAUCUUGUUAUCCAAAAAAAAUCACUUUAAUUAGUAGACUAUUAGCUACCUAAGAUGGAGAACCUCACAUAUUUUCAGAAAGGGGCUAAAACUAAAACCCAAAUCUCAGAUAAAUAUGAAAUUUGAAUCUUACCUGGCAAAAUGUGUGAAAUACACCCAAGUCACGCCGUCGAGGUAAAAUUCAAGUAAUUAUUUGUUCAAGUUUGGGAUAGUUAAAGUGCCUACUUGUACACUAGCAAAGUUAAACAUACAAAGUUAAAGUGCCUACUUUUGCACCAGUAUAUCGAUCCAAAUGAUGCAUGUAGAUCAACGUACAACACCAACGACGUAAAAUAUCAUCUUAAAGUUUGUGCAUAAGGAGAGGAGCACCAUACUGAGGAUGAAUAGUCACUACUGCAAAUGGAGCAUGUGUAUAUGAUGGUGAUAGUUCAAAGGAAAACCUUUGUAGUAUCAUUGCUAUCGCCAUUUUUGCUUCCAUCAUUGCAAAGUUUUGUCCGAUGCAAACACGCGGUCCCCAGCUAAAUGGGAUAAACGAGACUUGUCCUUUUGUUGCCUUUGACACUCCUUCACUGAAUCUUUCUGGUUUGAAUUCCUUUGCGUCUUCACCCCAUAUCUCCUUAUCAUAAUGUACUAGGAUUGUGGGUAUAACAAGUAGCACUCCGGCUGGUAGAUUUAGCUCCCCCAAUUUCACUUCCUCUUCAGUCCUUCUACCAAAUAUUGGCAAUGGAGGGAAUAGCCUUAACGUCUCGUACAAGAUCAUCAUUACCUAAGGGAAAGAGUAUUGCAUAAGUUGACAGUAGAAUGAGAGUGUUUGGGUAAAGCUUUGACCAAAUUGCUUUUAACCCAAAAUUAACCGAAAGCUGUAAGUUGAUUAGCCUCAACUUAAGAUUUUUAAUUUCUGCUUAUAGCUUUUAAAGCACUUUUGAUCUGAACAAAAUUUCUCAAGUACUGUUCUAUUGCUACUGUAUUUCGAAAUCCAGUAAAUAUCUUUUCAAAACAACAUGACUAACUCCCGCUCCAUUCCUUUCCGUUGUCCGUCCUUCUCCUUGUAAAUAUACUUUCUUAUUUAUAUCUUUUGUGAAUAGCUUUCAGAGCAUUUAGUCAUUUGAACACAAAUGCUUAUGGACACUUUUUUACCAAACAUAUUAGUUGUGUAUGCUUCUAUCCUAACACAUAAAUGUCUAUUUGUAAAAUCAAUUUCAACACAUAAAAAUGGUUUUCAACACUUAAUGUUUAUCAACUACCCUCAAUUAGUUAAGCCAAUUGGGGUCUUAGUUCACUUCUUGUCAACUUCGGCAGUCCUGUAGAAUCACUAUAUUGAGGACACAAAACGUACUCAUUAAGAGAUUGGAAGAAAAGAACUUGUGUGAAAAGUACUUACAAUUUUCAAGCGAUUUAGUCCUUCCAAAUCUGGUUUAUUAUUUCCAAAGACCUGCAACACCUCCUCUCUGGCACGUACUUGCCACUCCGGAUGUAAGCAGAGCAAAAUCAUUGUCCAUACGAGUAAUACUGAAGUUGUCUCUUGUCCAGCAAAAUAGAAUACUGAAGUUCGAUUUCUUUCAAAUUGGAUUCGAGUAAUAUGCCCAAUAAGUCAUCUUUACUGGUCUCCCCUGCUUCCAUUGCCCUCAAUCUUUUGUCAAUGAUACACCUAAUUGUGGUUUGAAUUUCCUUUUCAAUUUCCAGCAUUCUUUUGUUUCUUUUAGUAGGCAAGAACCUAUAUGAACAAAUUUAUUCAAACAAGAAAAGUCUAUUAGUAGAAAAAUUGCUAAGAAGAUUUUUCAUAUUUAAUUACAGAGAGAUUUUGCAAGCACAAAAGAAAGUUUUGAACAUGGAAAUGUGAUGUACAUAAAUUGUUGUACCUUGAUCCUGGUAUAUAAAUUGAUUGUCCUUUUUCGAUUACAUACUCAGCUUGUUCUUUCUGAAGUUCAAAUACUGUUCUUCCUUCUUCAUAGCUACUCCCAAAUGCUGUACGAGAUAUGACUUCACUAGUCAUUAUUUGAAGGUCUGGCCAUACAUCGAGUUCGAAUGAUGUUCCCGUUGGAACAAUUUCCUCCCAUUUGCUUAACAUUUCACUACAACUCAUAUAAAAUGCCGGCAGCAUAUGCUGUAAAUCAAAAAACCAGUAAGUGCUUGUUAUAAAUGGAUAACUUCUUAAUGUUAAUUAAGGCAUCUAAAUAAGCAAUACUAAGUCAAAGGCAUAUAAAAUUUACCGUGUUAUCUAAAUUUGGUUCUCUCUUGAUUCAAUUUGUUGUCUUACUUCCCUUCUAAGUCUCUUAAAAAAAGAACGUCACUUUCUAUAUUUAGUAAUUCUAUUAACUCCAAUAUGCCACAUUGAAUGUUUAGACCACAAGAUUCAAAGGAUAUUUUGGUACAUUAUACACAUCUUUAGUUUAAGACUACAAGAUUCAAAAGACUCCCUUAUUUUCUUAAACAUCGCCCGUGCCCAAUCAAACUAUCCUAGAAGUGAGGUUUGAAAAGGGUGGUGUGUGCAUAGACCUUACCCCUACCUAGUAAAAGUAGAAAGGUCAAGUAUAACAAUUCAAAACAGGUUUGAAAAAGCAAUACAGUAAUGACGAAAUCACGUUGAAAAUAAUGGAGAAAAGAGCAGUAACAACAUAAAAAUAUAACGGAAGGAGUAGUAAAGUAGAACCUUUAACUUCUCUAUGUGGAAGACGGGAUUGAUGAUUUUUCUGUGUUUGGCCCAUUUGUCUCCCUCAAUGUUUGGUAGACCCUGAGCCAAUAACUUGGUCAUUGGAUUGGGAUGAUUUUGCUUUAGAUACACAUAAUUCUUUGUGAAAAUCUCCUUUAAAUGUUCAGGAUCUGUGAUCAAUAUAACUGGAUAUGGGCCUAACCACAUAAAAGAACUUUUACCUGCAAGUAUCUCUUAGUUAUUGCUAUGAUUUAUUGUUUUUUUCCAGAAAAGGAAUUUCAACAACAAAAUCACUAAUGAAAUUCACAAACAAGGAAUAGGCAUUUCACGCACCCAAUGAUCUGGCCUAGUGGUUAAUUGUUGAAGUGUCUGACAAUCUCAUCUGAGCAUACUUUUAUUAUUUAAUUAUAUUCUCAACAUAGAUGAAGUAAUACAGAGACUAUAACACUAGGUGACUCUUCUUAUCUGACCUAGCUUCAGUGGACAAAUUAGUCGAGGUGUACGAAAGCUGAGCCAGACACCACGGUCAUUAAAAAAAAAAGGGAACAAACAUUUCACAACUUCAUCAAAAGUUCAGUCAGGCAUUUUACCAAACAGUUGAUACACAUCACACAACAUCUUUGUAACUAAGAAACAUACCAUUUUUGUUGAUGGAGUCAAGGAAAAAGGGGAUGAGCCUUUGAGCUAUAUCAUCAGAGAAAUUGAUAGGCUUAGAUUUGGCUUCUACUAUACUUUUUGUGAGUUCAUUCAAAUCUCCAUAGAGUAACUUGUAUGGAUUUCCUUUUAGACCAUUUUGUAUAAAGUAUUUCUCUACUUUCUUUGGUCUAAACCAUGCCCAAUUCAACACUUUCCAUGUAUAAAUUAAUAAAAUUGCAACACAUAUUGUUGCUAUUAUGUUGCUCAACAUCUCCAUUUUCACAAAGUCACAAAGCUUCUCUCAACUGCUUCCUCUUGUUAUACAAAAAUGGCCAUAAGUCAAAAGGAAUCUUUCUUGCUAAUUUUAAAUGGGGUGAGAUAUUUCAAUUUAUUUAAAAUGUAAACAUUUGAUUCAUAAGUUUAUACUUUGUAUAAUUUUUAGAGAUGCACAAGUAACUCUAGACUAUGAUCAAAAUUUCAAGACAUUGAUUAAUUAAAUUAAGGUCUUAUUAUCCCUAAACUUAUUUUUUGUAAUUUUAUACGUUUAUGUGGAACACUCCGUGACUCCAUGCAACUGAGGCACGUGAGAGAUAUUUGGAUGUCACGUAAGCCAAAAAGGUGUGCAAAAUUUUAAAAAAAAUGGGUUCAGGGAUAACAGGACCUUAGUUUAGUUAAUGUGUGUCUCUGAAAUUUUGGUCAUAGUCUAGGUAAUUUUUAUUAUUAUUUUACAUUUUGCAGAAAAAAAAUCAUGUUCAAGUUAAAAGAUUGUUUGUACCGUGUAAAAAAAUGAUACUGUUAUUGUUGACUAGUAGAUCUUGAUAAAGAUACGUGUAUUUGAAAGUUUGUAAUUGCAAAUAUAUUUAGUUAUAAAAGAAAUAGAGUGAUACGUGAUUUAUCAAUAGUGCAUUAGUAUACUUUGAUAUCUUGUUUAGGAAUCACGAUUAUAUCAUUUUAUAAUAUUGCAUAAGAAUUGAUUUGUUUUAUUUUUUUAUAUAUAUAGUUUUCAUAAUUUGUGGGAUUUUCUAUUAAGAAAAACAUACAACUAAUGAAAUCAAAAUUUCAAUUCAAUCUGAUUUUAAAUCAUGUCCAAAUAAAACCUUAAUCUGCUCAAGUUUUAGCCCAUUCAUCGCUAUCAAGAAUUUAAUGAAUAAAUAAGAAUUCUCUGUCCUUAAUUUGAGAUCUCAAAGUUUGACAUAGAUUGCAAUAUGGAUGUAUAUUAAUUGAAGCUCUAAUAUAAAUAUCGAACGUCAAUCAGAAAUUAAUGAAAAAAAUUUACCCCUCCUGCUAUGCCUGUUUAGUAAGUAUUUUUUUUUCAUAAUUCUGUCCUGUCUCUGAUCCUGUCCAACCAACAGGACAAGCCCUGCCUUACAUUAUCCCAUUUAUGUCUUUAUUUUAUUAUUUCAUUUGUCCUAGUUUCCAUCCUAUCUUUGUUAUUUUUCAACCUUUUUCAAUAUAUUUUAUAUACAACUUGUGUACUAAUGAUCUGAAAAUACUAAACUAAAGAUAGGGCAUCUACGUAAUAUAUACUAUUUAGUUAAAAAGAUAAAUAUAUUGUUUAAAUGGCUCGUUUACUUAUAAAAACAAAACAAAAGUAGUUGUGUGAUUGUGAUUUGUGACCUCUCUUGAUUCCAUCAAAAUAUGUUAGUACUAGUUUAGAGACCCAAAUUGAAUAAUAAGGUUAUGGCCCAAAGAAAAUAAAAAGAACUUAACGUGGCAUAAUACAUAGGUAAACAACUAUCUUGAAAUACUUUAAUUUUGAAAAUGUACGUCUAGACACCUCAACUUAUUACCCGUGUGUCUAGUGGACACUCGACGCUAACGUGACACAUAAUUUUUUAUGGUAUCUAGAUAUGCAUCGUCAAAGUUGGGAGUGUUAAAUUUCAACUGACGCCAAGUUAAGAUGUCUAUUUAUGUAUCAAACUAUCAAGUAUGUUUCAUGGUAUAUAGAGGUUAAGACACAAAUGAAGAGGUAAGUAUAUACAGGCCAAAGAAAACAAGAAAGUACAGAACACUUUAGAAACAUAGCAGUAGUUGUUUUGAUUGAUUCCUACAUAUGGACAAACCAAAAUGAACAUAGAGGUGCAAUAGAAAUAUAUAUAUAUGUUCUACACAACUUUAAGAAGAAACUUCUGCUCCACCAAGAGGCCAAAUGAAGUUCAUCAGAGGAGACCUAUGAUUAGUUGACCAAAUAAAUUUUGAUAAUGUUAACCAAGCUGCAAUUUAACGUUAACGUUUAAAUUCGAAGCAUGACUUCAGUCAUCAUGUGACAAAUUAGUAUGGAUCAUACAACACCAAUGGUGUAAAAUAUCAUAUUAGAGUUUGCGCCUAAGCAGAGGAGCACCAUACUGAGGAUGAAUAGUCACUACUGCAAAUGGAGCAUGUGUAUAUGAUGGAAGAGAGUUCAAAGGAGAACCUUUGUAGUAUCAUUGCUAUUGCCAUUUUUGCUUCCAUCAUCGCAAAGUUUUGUCCAAUGCAAAUUCGAGGCCCCCCUCCAAAUGGGAUAAACGAGAAUUGUCCUUUGGUUGCUUUUGACACUCCUUCACUAAAUCUUUUUGGUUUGAAUUCCUUUGCGUCUUCACCCCAUAUUUCCUUAUCAUAAUGUACUAAGAUUGCGGGUACUAUGAGUAUCACUCCAGCUGGUAGAUUUAGCUCCCCCAGUUUCACUUCUUCUUUAUUCGUUCUACCAAAUGUUGGUAAUGGAGGGAAUAGCCUUAGCGUCUCGUACAAGAUCAUGGUCACCUGUGAAGAAGGAUCGCAUAAGUUGGCAGAAGAAUUAGGGGGUGCUUUGCUAAAAGAUUUAACAAACUUAUACGCAUUUCUUGGCUAAUAAGUACCACUAUAUUGAGGACACAAAACAUACUAUUGAAAAGAACUUGUGAACAGUACUUACUAUUUUCAAGCGACCUAGUCCUUCCAAAUCUGGUUUAUCAUUUCCAAAUACCUGCAACACCUCCUCCCUGGCACGUACUUGCCACUCUGGAUGUAGGCACAACAAAAUCAUUGUCCAGACGAGCAACACUGAAGUGGUCUCUUGUCCAGCAAAAUAGAAUAACUUGCACUCUUCAAUCACUUCAAUUGUUGUCAUACCGAAAUCUUUGCUUCCGUGUUGUUCAAUUUCUUUCAUAUUGGAUUCAAGUAAUAUGCCUAAUAAGUCAUCUUUACUAGUCUCCCCUCCUUCCAUUGCCCUCAAUCUUUUGUCAAUGAUACGCCUAAUUGUUGUUUGAAUAUCCUUUUCAAUUUCCAGCAUUCUUUUGUUUCUUUUUGU